rnacentral:rRNA from 1 species
UCGGGAAUUUUGUGCAAUGGGCGAAAGCCUGACACAGCAACGCCGCGUGAAGGAUGAAGUCCCUCGGGAUGUAAACUUCGUAAGAAUAGGAAGAAUAAAUGACGGUACUAUUUAUAAGGUCCGGCUAACUACGUGCCAGCAGCCGCGGUAAUACGUAGGGACCAAGCGUUGUUCGGAUUUACUGGGCGUAAAGGGCGCGUAGGCGGCAAUUCAAGUCAUCUGUGAAAUCUCCGGGCUUAACUCGGAACGGUCAGAUGAUACUGCUUUGCUAGAGUGCAGAAGGGGCAAUCGGAAUUCUUGGUGUAGCGGUGAAAUGCGUAGAUAUCAAGAGGAACACCUGAGGUGAAGACGGGUUGCUGGGCUGACACUGACGCUGAGGCGCGAAAGCCAGGGGAGCAAACGGGAUUAGAUACCCAGGUAGUCCCUGAGCGGGCUGGCAAGGCGCAU